rnacentral:tRNA from 1 species
UGAGCCUUAGUUUAAAAAGAACUAUCGACUGUUAAUCGGAGGGUAUAAUAUAUAGGUUUAG